UGAAGAUUUUCAUGAUUGUUCUUUAUUUGGUUGGAUUCAUCUCUGACCUUUGGCAAGGUGUUUGCUUUUUCAAAGGUUGUUUUUUUCUUGCUUUGUUGGUGAUUAAUUGGGAUGCGUUUAUUGAGUUGAAGGGUUGGUUUUCUUUUUGACAAGCUUAAUGUGUUUGAUUUUGUUUGUGAUGAUUUAGGUUUCUGUUUCCGUGAAUGGAAUGGGGUACAGGAUGGAUUUUGCUGCUUUUUUUGGUUCCUCAUAUGUGAUUGGUUUUGGUUAUGAGGAUGCUUUGAACAAAUUAGUAGUAUUUUGAUGCUCUCUGCUUUCUAUUAAUUUCUUUCUAAUUAGAUAUUGAUUGUAAGUGUGUCUAUUUGAAUGAAGAAAGAAUGGCCUUUUCUUUGUUGACUUUUAAGAAUUUUUUGGGAUUUAGGAAUUUGGAAUUUAUGUCAAUGAAUUAAUUGCAGUGAAUAUUUGUGCUUAGUUACGCUUGUUGAUAUGAAGUAUAGUUGGUCUAUUAAUUUGUUUCAUUGUUUGCUGGUUUAUGUAGUGGUUUUUCAACUUUUAGUCUUUUUUCUUUUUGCUGUGAGAUAUUGACUAAUAAAACCGUGUGAACAUAAUGAUUUUUUACUAUUCUGAGAUUUCCUGAGUUUUUUUUAUUGUGGUGGUUUUCAGUGUAGGUGAUUUGUGAUAUUCAGCAGGGGAGAGAUGAGUAAAAGAUACAAUGAAUUUGCGAUGCCACCUUGUUGAAUUAGAAUGGUCUAAGGUUGUGGUGGGAGUUGGUGAAAUCAUGAAAACUGGGGAUGACUUGUCAAAUUUCGCUGGAAUGUGAGAUUUUUGUGACUAUUCAUUGCUAAUGGAUGAGUAUCUAAUAUAUUUUAUUUUA